UGCUUAGCUUUAGCAGACAAGGCAUGACAUUGCUCACAUUGCUUCCAGUGUUUUAUUGCUUUCAGUGUUUUAGUU
rnacentral:sRNA from 2 species